AACGUAGGACACAAACGUUAUCCGGAGUUACUGGGCGUAAAGGGCGUGUAGGCGGAUUGGUAAGUCUACUCUGAAAGCUCCUGGCUAAACUGGGAGAGGCGAGUGGAGACUGUCAGUCUAGAGUGAGGAAGAGGAAAGUGGAAUUCCGCGUGUAGUGGUGAAAUGCGUAGAUAUUCGCAAGAACACCAGUGGCGAAGGCGGCUCACUGGCCCGAUACUGACGCUGAGGUGCGAAAGCGUGGGGAGCAAACAGG
rnacentral:rRNA from 1 species